UCAUCAGAACAUGCCAUUUAUGCGAGGAGAGAGCAGCGACACCGUCCUCGACUCUACAAAUCUCAGCUCCACAGAUCUACCCACAACGACUGGGCAUUCUCACGGGCGACAACUAUCUAUGAGGUGAGAGCAGCGGCGGCGAGCUUCGACUUCGACACCUUCAGCAGCAGCGGCGAAUCUCCGUCAGCAGCGAGCAUCGGUGAGAUCGGCGGUGAGCUUCGACGAGGAGCUUCCUUCAGCAGCGAACGACGGCGUGUUUUUUGUUUCGGCAACGAGCAGAUUUACAUUUUUAAUGUUUACGGACAACUUCUUGUGAAUUUGUGGCGGCGAAGUGGACUGCAAAGUAGAUGGUUGCUGAAGAAGCAGAUGAUUUGUAGAUUGCAUAUAAUUUGAUAGCCGAGGUUGAUACUGUUUUAGCUUUUAGAUGAACUAUGAAGACUUUCCACAGAUGCAAAUGAGGGAAAACAAUGUUCAAUCAUUUGAAAAGCUUUGCCAGGUGAACUUAUGGACCAUUUAUCCUAUCAGUUUGCGAUUGGUCUACCUUCUUUCACUUGAUAUUACUUUUAGGAGUUGAAUAUGUAUUAGUAUGAUACAUGCUGAGGAAGUCUUAUUUUAUUAUAUUACAUAGUUUAGAUAUUAAUAAAUUACUAAAUAGUUAUUUAGAAACUAAUAAAUAGUUAUUUAGAAAGUAGAAACUAAUAAGUAGUUAUUUAGAAAUUACUAAAUAGUUAUUUAACUUAUUAUUCUUAGUCUUUGAAUUAAUUUAGGUAGUUGGAAGAUUCAGCAGAUUACUUGGCUUAUUUAGCCAUUCUAUGAGUUGUAUUUUACCCUAUAAAAAGGGGAACCAAUUCUAAUGAAAGCAAGCAGAAAUUCAAUCCCAAAAA